UACGUAGGGCGCGAGCGUUGUCCGGAAUUAUUGGGCGUAAAGAGCUCGUAGGCGGCCUGUCACGUCCGCUGUGAAAUCCCGGGGCUCAACCAUGUGGUCUGCAGUCGAUACGGGCAGGCUAGAAUUCGGUAGGGGAGACUGGAAUUCCUGGUGUAGCGGUGAAAUGCGCAGAUAUCAGGAGGAACACCGGUGGCGAAGGCGGGUCUCUGGGCCGAUAUUGACGCUGAGGAGCGAAAGCGUGGGGAGCGAACAGG
rnacentral:rRNA from 1 species